AUACGGAGGACGCGAGCGUUAUCCGGAUUCAUUGGGUUUAAAGGGUGCGCAGGCGGCCGUGCAAGUCAGCGGUGAAAGCCCGGGGCUCAACCCCGGAAGUGCCGUUGAUACUGCAUGGCUGGAAUGCGGUCGAGGCGGGCGGAACGUGGCGUGUAGCGGGGAAAUGCGUAGAUAUGCCACAGAACGCCGAUAGCGGAGGCAGCUCGCCAGGCCUGCAUUGACGCUCGGGCACGAAAGCGUGGGGAUCGAACAGGAUUAGAUACCCUGGUAGUCCACGCCGUAAACGAUGGGCGCUCGUCGUCGGCGGCAGACAGUCGGCGGCCAAGCGAAAGCGAUAAGCGCCCCACCUGGGGAGUACGGUCGCAAGGCUGAAACUUAAAGGAAUUGACGGGG
rnacentral:rRNA from 1 species